UUUCCGUUUCAUAUAGAAAUGAAAUUGAUAUAUGAAAUAUAUAUAUUAUUGGUUACAAAAGUGCUUUUUGUACUCUGUCUGACAGAGAUUUCAUAUCCCAAUUUUCUUUUUGUAGAAUUAACAAAAAGGUUUUGUGAUCUGGGUGCAAUUUUCACAGUAAUAUUUGUUAGUUCUAUAAUAUUAACUCUAUUUUUGGUGCGUAACACGAGUGUGUCAGUGAUGCCAUGUAUUUUUUUAAUAACCUUUAGUUUGGCCAUGGUGUUGAAAGAGAACAAAUUUUUUUAUUUGAUACAGAAAAGGCUUAUAUCUAACAACCCCAGUUUUUUAUUGUAUAUUUAUCUUCCAACCAUUUAUUUUAAGAGGAUUUUGUAUAUGCCACUUCAAGGAGCGAAAUUAUGUUGUUUGCAUGCUUUCAUCCUCACAGCAUUUAAUAUUGUUUCUGAUGGAUUCGCAAUUUACAUUUGGUGGUGGUUAAUGGGAUUUCCUAAUCUUUCUCCGGAUAUGGGUCAGACAGACUGUUAGAUUCUUAUUAAGGACGUCCUAGAAGAGAGAGAUUGAUAUUAAAGACAAUAGGGAGGCACAGAUAUAUUGAUGGACGAGUUAUCUUUUUCUAAUUAAAUGAUUUGUACUUAUAAAAAUAUCAAAUAGAGGUCUGGUCAUAUAACUU